rnacentral:rRNA from 1 species
AGAGUUUGAUCCUGGCUCAGGAUGAACGCUAGCGGCAGGCUUAACACAUGCAAGUCGAGGGGCAGCGGGGAGGAAGCUUGCUUUCUCCGCCGGCGACCGGCGCACGGGUGAGUAACACGUAUGCAACCUGCCCCUGUCAGGGGGACAACCCGCCGAAAGGCGGGCUAAACCCGCGUACAUGCCACCGGGGCAUCCCGGAGGCAGGAAAGGCUUCGGCCGGACAGGGAUGGGCAUGCGGCGCAUUAGGCAGUAGGCGGGGUAACGGCCCACCUAACCGACGAUGCGUAGGGGUUCUGAGAGGAAGGUCCCCCGCACUGGUACUGAGACACGGACCAGACUCCUACGGGAGGCAGCAGUGAGGAAUAUUGGUCAAUGGUCGGGAGACUGAACCAGCCAAGCCGCGUGAGGGAGGAAGGUACAGAGUAUCGUAAACCUCUUUUGUCAGGGAACAAAGGCGGGGACGUGUCCCCGGAUGAGUGUACCUGAAGAAAAAGCAUCGGCUAACUCCGUGCCAGCAGCCGCGGUAAUACGGAGGAUGCGAGCGUUAUCCGGAUUUAUUGGGUUUAAAGGGUGCGCAGGCGGUCUGUUAAGUCAGCGGUCAAAGCCCGGGGCUCAACCCCGGCCCGCCGUUGAAACUGGCAGUCUCGAGUUGGAGAGAAGUAUGCGGAAUGCGCGGUGUAGCGGUGAAAUGCAUAGAUAUCGCGCAGAACUCCGAUUGCGAAGGCAGCAUGCCGGCUCCACACUGACGCUGAGGCACGAAAGCGUGGGUAUCGAACAGGAUUAGAUACCCUGGUAGUCCACGCAGUAAACGAUGAAUGCUGGCUGUCCGGGGGGAUUGACCCCUGGGUGGCGAAGCGAAAGCGAUAAGCAUUCCACCUGGGGAGUACGCCGGCAACGGUGAAACUCAAAGGAAUUGACGGGGGCCCGCACAAGCGGAGGAACAUGUGGUUUAAUUCGAUGAUACGCGAGGAACCUUACCCGGGCUCAAACGGGGAGUGACUCAGGCAGAGACGCCUGUUUCCCACGGGACACUCCCCGAGGUGCUGCAUGGUUGUCGUCAGCUCGUGCCGUGAGGUGUCGGCUUAAGUGCCAUAACGAGCGCAACCCCCGCGUGCAGUUGCUAACAGAUAACGCUGAGGACUCUGCACGGACUGCCGGCGCAAGCCGCGAGGAAGGCGGGGAUGACGUCAAAUCAGCACGGCCCUUACGUCCGGGGCGACACACGUGUUACAAUGGGUGGUACAGCGGGAAGCCAGGCGGCGACGCCGAGCGGAACCCGAAAUCCACUCUCAGUUCGGAUCGGAGUCUGCAACCCGACUCCGUGAAGCUGGAUUCGCUAGUAAUCGCGCAUCAGCCAUGGCGCGGUGAAUACGUUCCCGGGCCUUGCACACACCGCCCGUCA